ACGAACGCUGGCGGCGUGCUUAACACAUGCCAGUCGAACGGAAAGGCCCUGCUUUUGUGGGGUGCUCGAGUGGCGAACGGGAGAGUAACACGUGAGUAACCUGCCCUUGACUUUGGGAUAACUUCAGGAAACUGGGGCUAAUACCGGAUAGGAGCUCCUGCUGCAUGGUGGGGGUUGGAAAGUUUCGGCGGUUGGGGAUGGACUCGCGGCUUAUCAGCUUGUUGGUGGGGUAGUGGCUUACCAAGGCUUUGACGGGUAGCCGGCCUGAGAGGGUGACCGGCCACAUUGGGACUGAGAUACGGCCCAGACUCCUACGGGAGGCAGCAGUGGGGAAUAUUGCACAAUGGGCGGAAGCCUGAUGCAGCAACGCCGCGUGCGGGAUGACGGCCUUCGGGUUGUAAACCGCUUUCGCCUGUGACGAAGCGUGAGUGACGGUAAUGGGUAAAGAAGCACCGGCUAACUACGUG
rnacentral:rRNA from 1 species